rnacentral:ncRNA from 20 species
GAAGACCUUCGGGGCAAGGUGAAAUUCCUGAUCGGCGGUAAUGGUGGCGUGCCCACACAAGCCCGCGAGCCGUAAGGCAGGACCCGGUGUGAUUCCGGGGCCGACGGUAUAGUCCGGAUGGGAGAAGGUCGGC